UUGAUAUGAAUAAAGUGAUUGCAUUUUUUUUUAACGAGAGGUGAUGGUUUUAAGAAUAUAUAUAUUAUUGUAUGUGUCUUUUAACGCCACAUUUCCCACUAUUUGUGUGAGUGCCCUACUCCUCAUCUCUAUCCUCUCCUUGAAGAUCUAAUUCAUGUUUUUUUCCUACCAAACUCAGAUCUCCCUCCGGCCGGUUGAUUUCAGACUUUUAUCUGUUUUCCGGUAUCCGAAAUAUCUAACGUUUACAUAUCUGCUUAUGCAGUUGAUUAUAUUGUUUUGAUGAUCUCUUACUUAGGUUUCUGAUUUUGGUUUCGAUCAAAUCUACUCUCUCUUUUCGUAUUCGUAGAUGUAACCGCCUAAGUCUUCUAGAUCAUCCGUCUUAAUUUCUUUUUCUGAACAUCAGAUCAUCGGUUUGUUAGGUCAGAAUCUGAACACAUGAUCAUGUGGAUCAUGUCCCUGCGUUGCAUCGGAAAUGAAAAAUCCGAUCAAAACCGCGCAUUAGAUUCCGACCAAUAACAAAGCGUAUGCGAGAUCGGAAAAGAAAAAUAGGGUUUUGUUCUUUUUAUAUUUUUAUAUUUUUUUUGUUUGAAAAGGAGUUGCUAUUGGAGUAGAUCUUUUGGUUUUAUGUGGUACCUCUCCUUAGUGACUUUAGAAUUCGACCAAUCUUGACGUGCCACAUCACAUCUUCGCUCGUGGCCUUAAUUAUUAAGAGUGACCCCAUGAAGACCCCCUCCGAAGUUUGAUUUUUCAGCCAUUUUUUCAUCUGAAAGCUCUCUAAUGAAAAAAAAGACAUACUCUUAUUCUUCUUCUUCUUCAAGGGUUACUAUCAGCCGCCAAGGGAUUUUUCCGAUCAAACCCUAAAGUCGUUGUUUUCCGGCGUGGCAUCAUCAAGAUUCACGUACAAAAGCAAAAAGCAAAAGCUUUUUGAGGAUGAGAAUCUUGAUGAUGCUGCAUCGGCAAUAAAAUGGCUGUGCUAUAGGUAGAUGGCGUCAAGAGUUGUACUCUCUGCAUUGUAGAUGGUAUCGGUAGCUGACUUACUCAUCAAAUGUGUCAGUUUCCAAAUCUCCAAAACUGGUUAUCAGGUAAAUUUAGACAACAAAAUUAACAUCUUAUGAAUAACACAUACCAAUAAUCAACAAAAUGUGGUUUGGGAAUUCGAGGCCAUGUACUCCUAGCUAGCUAUGAAACUAUGGUUCUUCAUAAUACACAACAAAAUCGAGUUCAUUUGGUAAGUUAAUAUAAUCAUCAGGAGUCUCUUUUUUUCAGGGUUCCAAUCGAUCGAUUUGAAUUUUUUAUGUAUCUUGUUGAAACUAGUCAUCUAACAUUAGGAUUAGACAACUUGAGAUAACAAAAACUAUAAUUAGGAUUAUUUGUUGUCAUUUGGCUUUGAGCUAUGACUCAAUGAUCAAAUACGGCAACAGAUGCAGAUUUAGUACAUCAUAUAUAUAUAUAUAUAUAUAUAUAUAUAUAUAUAUAUAUAUAUAUAUAUAUAUAUAUAUAUAUAUAUAUAUAUAUAUAUAUAUAUAUAUAUAUAUAAAAUCUGCACAACUUGAGAAUGCUGGGAUUAGUGAACAUAUAUAGAUGAGGAAAAUUACAUUUUAUGUGAUAAGUAAAUUUGAUAUUAACUUAUUCAUAUUAACUAACUUGCUAAUUAAAAGCCCUAGUAAUGUAUAUCUUACCCAUAGUACUUUUAGUGAACAAGGGUGUGAUAAAAACAAUCUCACCUGUUUGAUGUGUGGUUACAUUGGUCUCCGUACAGAAUACAUCAAGUGCUAAUAGUAAUAACUAUAUAUGCUUAAAUCAUAUAAAUUAAGUAGGAGUCCUUCAUAAUAAAGUCAAAUUUGUAAAGAAAAUGUUAUUGAUUUGCCAUAAUUAAUUUCUUGUAAAAAAAAAAUAUUUGUCAAACAUGUUUUGAUUAUCAUACUCCUAAUCUUUAUCAUAAACAUCAUCUAUGUCUCCUAGCAGACUUAAAGUCAUUGACUUCUCAUUUCAGAGAGUCAUUCUUUACCGCUAGCCUAAAGUCCUUUGGUCAUAUCCAUUUUCCCCUUGCACACAAAUUUAUAUAUAUAUAUAUAUAUAUAUAUAUAUAUAUAUAUAUAUAUAUAUAUAUAUAUAUAUAUAUAUAUAUAUAUAUAUAUUGCCAAAAAUUAGCUUUAAGUGUUGUAUAAUUAAAUCUGCUAAGUUGGUUCAUUAUUUAAAAAACAAGUCAUGCGUAUAUUAUUGUUUAAAGCAUAAAAAUGAUAAAUAUAGUAUAAUUACUCAUGCUAACAAAAAAUUCUAAAAGGAAAAAAAAAAAAAAAAAAAAAAAAAAAAAACAUAUUCAUUUAUUGAUGAAAAUUAUGCAUUCAUGUGUAUGUACCUAACAUACAAGUACUGAUGAUCAUCUUUUUUUUUUUUAGUUCAGUGUUGCAUAUAUGAGAAUUGUCUUUCAUCUUGGAAGUGUACUACGCAUUACAGAAAAUAAUAUUAAUUUCCUAAACCUAAAUAUAUAUGUAGAUUGCUGAUCUACGUAAGUGCGAUAUCUUUCAUUUUUUUGUUUCUUGGAAACCUUUUAUCCAUUGUCCAAACAGGAAUCUUGAAACCAACAAAUUCCAAUCAGAAGAACGUGAUACAGAUGAAUACAGCAUCUUAAGUCAUCAAAACUCUAGAGACAUGACAUGAGUGAAAAGACUCGAAGAAAACAUAUCUUGUUAGAUUGAUAAUUUAGCAUGGAAACAUUUGCCAGCAAAGGAGUAGCUGUUCGCGACUUUGAUCAACAUGUCACAUUGCUUGCUGCCAUUGUUGGAGUUGCUUUUUAACAUUUCUGUGUGGGGUGCAUGGUCCUAUUGAGUGCUUGUAGUACUGCUGACAUCACUCUGACUCACACCGGAGAAAACACACAAUAAUCAUGAAAUUUAUCAGCUCCGCAAUAAUGCAACCCAAAAGGGUUUCACAGACUUUUCUUUAUUUAUCUUUUAAUCUUGAUGUCAUUUUGUUGUUCAAAUAAGUUUGCUUCAUUGAUUAGAACUUAUUUAUAUUAUGCAAUAAAAAAGACGUUUAGCAUGUGUA